UGCAACUAUAUCACUUUGAAACACCAGUUCUCAUACGAUCACCGAAGUUAAGAAAUGCAAAGACUUGUCAGUACGUAGGCGGGUGACCACUUGGGAAUACCAAGUGCUGUAA